GUGUCCUUGGUGUAACGGUAACACGCAAUCUAUGAAGUUUUUGGAUUGGUCCGGGGUUCGACUCCCCGAGGACGCC